rnacentral:rRNA from 1 species
UCCGUAUAAGGUUGCCUGCGGAAGGAU